AAAAAAAAAAAAAAAACUAGACUUAGCCUAAUGCGCAGUAUUGGAAUUUUAUGCCCCAAAUCUAAAUUUGGGGUCAGUCCACAAAAAAAACGCUCAUACUAUAAUGAGUGGUAAGUUAUAAGGGGUUCACUUUAUAGCCAUCAGAUCCAUCCCAUGGUUGAACUAUUAUGCUACAAUCGGGUUGAAAUUACCCAUACCAAAAGAUGCAAUCCGAAAGUGCAAAGCACGCUCUCUCAUCCUGGUUGACCCUCCUUCCUCGAAAGCCACCCACUCUGCAAUAUGUUCUUCUUGUAUCUCUCGCUCUCGCCAUCUCUGGUUUAAGAUUAUCAAAGAACCAAACUCCAUUCGGCAAAUAUCUUGCAACCAACACAGACAUAGAGGGUUUUGAGUCUUUUGUUAUUAUUGACACUUUAUCACCCCAAAAGUUUAUUUUCUGACACCCAACUCCAGCUCGCCAGCCAUCUCCCUGCUGUCCAAUCCAAUUCUCCACCCAUCCAUCGUCAUAACCCAGCUCUACUCAAAUUCGGAACCCUAGUUUGACCUAGCCAAGCCGCCGUAACUCACGACCUUUGUUGUCGACCUCCACUGCGAAGCCACUAUCGCGACUCCACAACUAAGCCACAGUCGCGAACUCCGUCGUCGUUCUCCAAAGCGUAGGGGCAUUCAUGGGCUCCAAUUUUUGCUACAGUCCUCUCUCUCCCUCUCCUUCUCUGCUUUUUUUUUUUUUAAUCACAGUUGGACCUAGAUUUUUGAGUUAUGGAAGACUGUUGUCAUUGAGAACUAUCAUUAAUUUGGCAUGGGACAACAUUCCAUUUUGUCACAAGAAGUGUGCUGUAAUUAUAUGAAAAAAAACAUGUAACUGAGGAAUUAUAUAUUUUAGUCUUGUAAUUUAGUCCUCAUUCAAUGAAAUUGAGUUCAAUUUACUUGAGAAAUUUCAGUCUUGAAUUUGUUCUUUUUAUAUUCGCAAGUGUGUGCAAUAGAAAAAUCCUUCUUUUUCACAGAACAUUGGAAAAAUACUUUUACUUAUAUUAUACAUUGAAGAGAGAACAUUGUAUA